UGGGGAAUAUUGCACAAUGGGCGCAAGCCUGAUGCAGCCAUGCCGCGUGUAUGAAGAAGGCCUUCGGGUUGUAAAGUACUUUCAGCGGGGAGGAAGGUGUUGUGGUUAAUAACCGCAGCAAUUGACGUUACCCGCAGAAGAAGCACCGGCUAACUCCGUGCCAGCAGCCGCGGUAAUACGGAGGGUGCAAGCGUUAAUCGGAAUUACUGGGCGCAAAGCGAGCGCAGACGGUUACUUAAGCAGGAUGUGAAAUCCCCGGGCUCAACCUGGGAACUGCGUUCUGAACUGGGUGACUAGAGUGUGUCAGAGGGAGGUAGAAUUCCACGUGUAGCAGUGAAAUGCGUAGAGAUGUGGAGGAAUACCGAUGGCGAAGGCAGCCUCCUGGGAUAACACUGACGUUCAUGCUCGAAAGCGUGGGUAGCAAACAGGAUUAGAUACCCUGGUAGUCCACGCCCUAAACGAUGUCAAUUAGCUGUUGGGCAACUUGAUUGUUCAGUAGCGUAGCUAACGCGUGAAAUUGACCGCCUGGGGAGUACGGUCGCAAGAUUA
rnacentral:rRNA from 1 species